rnacentral:misc_RNA from 1 species
CUGAUUUGAAGUCGAAGGAGCAUCAGACAAAUUAUUAGUACUCUCUUUUGUGGCUGAUACUUUAGUCCUUUCUUUGGAUCCUCUUGCCUUCCGUCCAAUACUGUUUUUUUGUGGGAGCUGGAGCAUGUGGGGUUUCCAAAAUGGUAAAUUGUUCAUUUGAGUCUUUAACACAGAAUUCUCCAGUUUGUGUCUUUGAAUUAG